rnacentral:lncRNA from 1 species
UCCUCCUCCUCCUCCUCUUCUUCUUCUUCUUCUUCUUCUCCUCCUUCUUCUUCUUUCUCCUUCUCCUUCUCCUCCUCCUUCUCCUUCUUCACACUUGUCUGCCUCAUAGGCCAGCCUUGCCUGAUUUAUUUAACUGCAAGUUAGAAACUGGGAGAGAACCAACUUGGAGCUUUUUUGGUCUGGGAAAGAAAAUCCAAACCAUGCUUCUCUAGGGCCUCCUGACCUGGCUAAGCACCUUGGAGGGAACCCUGGCCACGAGGGAUCCAAGCACCGCUCUGGUUUCCCAGAAGCCUGUGGAUGACUCUCAUCUGGCGGUGGACCUCAGAUGGGGCUCAGCAGUGAAAGAGGGGAAGACAAAAAUCUGGCGAGCGAGCUGCCCGGGCCGAGACUGGCCACUUCAAACAGCCCUUCAAACAAAAGGAGACGACGAAAAGAAAGCCCCACCUGUCUCCAGUGUUUGCUAAAAUAAUAAUAAAUAGAUUUCGUUUAAUAAAUAAUUACAA